GGGAGAUCGAGAGAUCUGUUAUUCGAUUUGCUGCUACCCAAUAUAAAUAUAUUUCAAUCACUUUGUGUUCUUCAUUCACCGAACCGAUCCCACCUUUUCCCGAUUACUUUCCGAUCCGACUAGGUUACACUUCUAUUUAUCUGUAUCCUUACAGAUCUCAGCUGUCGUCUCAGAAAUGGCUCAGCCUUUGGUGAAGAAGGACGACGAUCGCGAUGACGAAAUGGACUAUUCCCCAUUUAUGGGGAUUGAGAAGGGUGCUGUUCUUCAGGAAGCUAGGGUU
rnacentral:misc_RNA from 1 species